AUCUCAUGAUGAAGACAUUGAUUGAGCAGCCUAUUGAACCUCUCCUAUGCUUCACAAAACAACUCAUCAUCUUACUGUGCAAAUAAUAAGAUCUUGUCCCUAAGCAU
rfam:Prunus persica cultivar Lovell chromosome G5, whole genome shotgun sequence.